rnacentral:rRNA from 1 species
AUCAGCAUGCUACGGUGAAUACGUUCCCGGGUCUUGUACACACCGCCCGUCACACCACGAGAGUUUGUAACACCCGAAGCCGGUGGAGUAACCUUUUGGAGCUAGCCGUCGAAGGUGGGACAAAUGAGUGGGGUGAAGUCGUAACAAGGUAGCCGGAUCGGAAGGUGCGGCUGGGUCACUUCCUUUCUAAGGA